UGAAUACGAGACGCUAAGGCGUCGAAGUAGUGUAUGUCAGACUUCCAAGAAAAGCUCGCACUGUCAUAGGUAAAAAAUGCCUGUACCAUAACCGACACAGGUGGGUAGGUAGAGUAUACUAAGGGGCGCGAGAUAACUCUCUCUAAGGAACUCGGCAAAAUGACUCCGUAACUUCGGGAGAAGGAGUGCCUUAUUUAUAAGGUUGCAAUAACAAGAUCCAAGCAACUGUUUACCAAAAACACAGGUCUCCGCUAAGUCGUAAGACGAUGUAUGGGGGCUGACGCCUGCCCAGUGCCAGAAGGUUAAAGAAGUUGGUUAGCAUUCGCGAAGCUGAUAACUGAAGCCCUGGUGAACGGCGGCCGUAACUAUAACGGUCCUAAGGUAGCGAAAUUCCUUGUCGGGUAAGUUCCGACCCGCACGAAAGGCGUAAUGAUUUGGAUACUGUCUCGGAGAGAGGCUCGGUGAAAUAGACUUGUCUGUGAAGAUGCGGACUACCUGCACCUGGACAGAAAGACCCUAUGAAGCUUUACUGUAACUUGAAAUUGAAAUUGGACUUUAGCCGCGCAGCAUAGGUGGGAGGCGUUGAGAAUAUUCUUGCGGGAAUAUAGGAGCCAUCAGUGAGAUACCACUCUUCUAAUGUUAGAUUUCUAACCUUGAACCAUUAUCUGGUCAAGGAACAGUUUCAGGCGGGCAGUUUGACUGGGGCGGUCGCCUCCCAAAUGGUAACGGAGGCGUACAAAGGUUUCCUCUGAACGGAUAGAAAUCGUAUCUAGAGUAUAAAGGCAUAAGGAAGCUUGACUGUGAGACUUACAAGUCGAGCAGGGACGAAAGUCGGUCUUAGUGAUCUGACGGUACUGAGUGGAAAGGCCGUCACUCAACGGAUAAAAGUUACUCUAGGAUAACAGGCUGAUCUCCCCCAAGAGUUCACAUCGACGGGGAGGUUUGGCACCUCGAUGUCGGCUCAUCGCAUCCUGGGGCGGUAGUACGUCCCAAGGGUUGGGCUGUUCGCCCAUGAAAGCGGUACGCGAGCUGGGUUCAGAACGUCGUGAGACAGUUCGGUCCAUAUCCGGUGUAGGCGUUAGAAUAUUGAGAGGAGCCUUCUUUAGUACGAGAGGACCGAGAAGGACAUACCUCUGGUGUACCAGUUAUCGUGCCAACGGUAAACGCUGGGUAGCUAGGUAUGGAGUGGAUAACCGCUGAAAGCAUCUAAGUGGGAAGCCCACCUCAAGAUGAGUAUUCUCAUCACGUAAGUGAGUAAGGUCACGGUAAGACUAACCGUUUGAUAGGCAUUAAGUGUAAGCGCAGUAAUGCGUGUGCUGAGAUGUGCUAACAGACCGAGGACUUGAC
rnacentral:rRNA from 1 species